GGUGCUACAGUGUAGUGGUCAUCACUCGGGACUCUGAUGGACAGCCCCGAAGCAUCGAUGUUCCCGAAACCUAGGUCCGAAUCCUGGUAGCACCU